GUCGAGAAUCUUUCACAAUGGGGGCAACCCUGAUGGAGCGACGCCGCGUGGAGGAUAAGGUCUUCGGAUUGUAAACUCCUGUCAUGCGUGAACAAGGUUGCUUGGUUAAUACCUGGGCAAAUUGAUGGUAACGCAAGAGGAAGAGACGGCUAACUCUGUGCCAGCAGCCGCGGUAAUACAGAGGUCUCAAGCGUUGUUCGGAAUCACUGGGCGUAAAGGGUGCGUAGGUGGCGUGGUAAGUCAGAUGUGAAAGCCCGGGGCUCAACCUCGGAACUGCAUACGAUACUGCCAUGCUAGAGUACUGGAGAGGUGACUAGAAUUCUCGGUGUAGCAGUGAAAUGCGUAGAUAUCGAGAGGAAUACCAAAGGCGUAGGCAGGUCACUGGACAGUUACUGACACUGAGGCACGAAGGCCAGGGGAGCGAACGGGAUUAGAUACCCGGGUAGUCC
rnacentral:rRNA from 1 species